GCCCUUGUAGCUCAGUGGUAGAGCGCAUGACUUGUAAUCAUGAGGUCCGCGGUUCAAUCCCGCGCGGGGGCA
rnacentral:tRNA from 3 species